UCACAAUAUAAUCAGAGUACUUUAUUACAUAGCGGAAGUCUUACAAAAUAAGAGAUAAAUAUCGCAUCUAAAAUCUAUCCUUGGUGCCAGAAAGCAGACUGGGAGACGCCAGCUAGAUCAAGUCGAAUGCCUCAGUGUUAGGCGGCUCCUCUUCGACCACCUGUUCUUCUCCUGUGGGGGGUGUGAGACAGCAAGAGUGAGCUCACAUACGUUCAUAGCUCAACAAGUCGUGGGGAAUAAUGUGGCAUGAACUCACCAAAGGUGGGAGUUCAUGAAGUGUAAGGCUGAUCAAGGAAAUAAAGGCUGAAGCUGAGCAUUGCUUUUAUAAGUUGGUCAAAAUUUUAUUAGCAAUUACUAAGUGUAAGUAAAUACCAAACCUUAAUAAUAAUAAAGAAAGGUAAUAGUAAAAUAAUCUCAAAUGUGAUGCAAAUGUCAAAUUAAAUUUAAGUUCUAUGAAUUAAUCAUGUGAGGGUCUGAGCUGCUCAUGACCAUGAGCACGACUAGUAUACCAGUUUUACACUCUGCAGAGGUUGCGCAUCUUUACCCGCAAGUCAUGUUACCCAUCUGCCAAGAGAUGGCCAAUCCCAUAUACCUCUACCGAGGAGGCGAGGCAGGGUAACACUACGAGGCCUUUACAAAGUUCCACUAGCUUCAGAAAUCCCGCUACAUUUUAUAGGAAGCUCCAGUGCAGGAAUCCCUCGCCUGACCGCCAUCGCAGCAAAAUCAACCCAAGGACCUCCCUACACUGACCACUCUCCUACUACCCUUGCCCCUUUCGGGUAAGGAAGACAUCCACUAGCUUUCCUAGUUAAUCAGCCAAGGGCGUCCCAUUAAACCCUUGUGGUAGCACUGUUUUCCCGGGUGGUCGCUCCAUGUUCCCAUUAACAUAAUGAUCUUAACAUGAACAGUAAUAAUAAACAGAUAAUAAAGAUGAAGUCAUGAAUAGUGUAUCUCCAUACCCAAAUCCAUAUAAAGCAAUAGCAAGUACUACCCAAAAAUGUUUUAGUGGUAAACAAGGUAUAAAGAUAACCAAAACUGGGGUAACCUAUUGGAUCCCAUCAAAAUUAACCUAUGCAGAUCAUUAUAAUUAAUAAGAACAUGGCUGGGAAAAAGUAAGUGAUCAAGGGCAUAACUUGCCUUCAAUGAGCUCCUGCUCAGCUACUUCUACUUGCUGAACCUCAGAAUCCACACUGGCUUGCUCGUCUACUCGCAUCAAUACAAUACAUACAUAGUAUAGCAAAAAUUAACAUUGCACCAAACAUGUAAAUAAAAUACACAAUAAAAAUCUACACAUUAAAAUAAGAACCUAGGAACAUGAAUCAUUAAUUUUGGAGUUAUAGAUUUUGAAUUAUGAAUUUCCAAAGCUUUAAUGUGCUUGAAAUGGAAUUGCAUGAGAAAUAAAUUUUCUUUCUGUUUUCAUGUCAAAACAGGGACUCUAGACGAUAGAUAUUAAUAUUACAAAAUUUUAGAAAUUGGAAUGGAUCGAUUUGGAUAAAAAUAAAUUUUCUAUGCAUUUUACAAGUAGGGAUGGAUCCAGAUAUUUAUUCGGAUGUCAUUUUUUUGGUCUUCUUUUUUUGAUUGUGAACAACUAACAUAUAGAAUUUGCUAUGUAAAUUUAUAUUCUUGUUUUUAGCAUUGAGACUAUUAAUCUUCACAAAAAAAUAAACAUUAAAUUCAUUAUAUAUCUUUUUAAAUAAUUCAUAUAAAAUUCGGAUGUCUAUCCGAAUACGGAUUCGGAUGUUUUUUCACUUUUUUGUUGUAGGGAGAAAACAAUGUACAUAAAAAAUUAUAUAAAAAUUUAUUCAAAUACUUCAUAAUAUUCUUAAUAACAUUGCCGAAAAUUAACUUUAAAUUCUAUGUAUAUCUAUGCUAAAAUAUUAGAUUUGUGAUACAAGUCGGAUGUUUUAGGAACAUCCCUAUUUACAAGUUUCUAGAUUUGUUUUUUUAUUAAAAACGAAUUUCUAUAGUUAUUUCUUUGUUUUUAAUCAUCUCUGGACUGGGCAUCAAUUUUCAGAAAGGUCAGGGGGUUCUGGCGUAAGUUUACCGAGACUCAGAGAAUAGGAAAUGAGGACGGCGGGUUGAAUAGGUACAACCUCGGGGUCUCUUUAACAAAAUAUACCCGCGAAGGGGUAUCUACGGUUUCUGGUCGUUGGAUCGUAAGUGGACGGCUAAGAUUAGAAGGCUGUUAAAACGAACCGGUUUCCAAUCUAGACCUUUGGAUCUGAAUCUAACGAUGGCAACUCUAUGCACGCGAGAUCGGAUUGGAUCCGUCGGAUCAUAUCCAACGGUCCACGGUCCAAGUCCUAAAGGGUAUGGCUCAGGUCUAAUCUCCACCGCCCAAAGAAGAUCAAACGGUUGAUCUCCGACAUCCCGCCUGGCCGCACGCCGGUGACACCAAACCAGAGUGCGACGGUGGCGCGCCAUCGCCGGAGAUCUCCGGCCACGCCGCUAAGGCGUUAAACACCGAUUCCUAUGGUUCUACACGAAGCGGAGAGUGAAUCGAUGAAGAUGGGGGUAGAUCUACCUCGAAUCGGGUCGGCGACUACACUGUCCACGCGGUAACGCGGUUCCGCGGCGAUGAUUGGACGGUGACGAGCAAUUAGGAGCGCGCCGAGGACAAUCUCGCCCGAAUGUGUCAUGAGCAGCACUGGGGGUUGCCCACGAACACCCAGGACGCCCCGCCACGGUCAAACACCCCCGUGAUAUGGAUUUAGCCGGCGGCGGAGUUUCCCUCUAGCGGCGGCGCACUGAGAACCAGAAGGCGGUGAUUGGACGCGGCAAGGUGGGGCGAAGAGUGGUCACGGGCACCGAGCGCUAGUGUUUAUACGGUCAACACCCCCAACGGUCCGAGCGCGCAUUGCGCGGUCGUGGCGGCGAGGUUGGUUCAUGCCGCGCGACCUUCGCGGAGGAGAAGACGGCAGCGACGUUGAGACUGGUCACUGGGGCCCACCGCGCAGCGAGUUGAGAGGGGGAGAACGCAGCGUCACUGACUAGCCUAGCCCACCAGUCGGCGCUGCGGAUAGGUGGUGGGCUGCGCAGCUAGUAAACAGGAAAUGGGCCGAAAACGAAGAACUGAGCCCAUACUCCAUUUUCCUUUUUAUUAUUUUCUGUUUCUGUUUUCUUCCUUUCUAAAUUCAAUUUUUGAAUUCAAAUUUAAAUUCGAAGCUUGUGCCGAUUUUACCCACAAAUUAUAUUGUAAUCUUAAAAUUACUAAACUUGAAAAUAUAUCUUUAUAUAUAUUUUCUGUAAAUUUUAUACUCUUUCUCUUUCUUUUCCAUUUAUUUUCUCUCCUCUAUUUCAAUCCCUAAUUCUCAAUUUAGGAUUCAAACUUCAUUUCAAGUCAUUUUUAUUAUUUUUUUCUAGCAUUAUCAUUGUUAUUAUUUUAAUGCACAAGCAAACAAAACUCCAAAGGAUGCACAAGUUAUUUGAGUGUCUUUUGUUACCCAUUUAUUCUUGUUAAGUAGGGUGUCCACAUGAGAUGAUGCACAUAGAUGACUCACAAAUAUAUAAAGGAAUGAAAUUUCUCUUUUUAGACUUUUCUUACAAAGUGGUUAUUACACUUAGACUGGUUGGGCGAUCUCUAGAUAUGUUUGUCUAAGCCAUAGGAACACCCACAUACACAGUCAAAUCGAAAUGAAGAAGAAAUAUGCAAAUUUGAGUUAAGCCAGUCUGUCUACAAAGCACCGGACUAGUCCGGUGGCAAAUCGGGCCGAGUACAUAGAGAGGUCUAAAGAAAAGCUUUGGUUGGAUGGUGCACUAGACUAGUACAAUGGCUAUUCGGACCAGUUUUUCUAGAGAGACUGUUUUAGAAGUUUGAAGACGCUGGCACAUCGUACCAGUCGGGUCUCAACAAUCAAAGUUCAUGAUCCAAUGGCUAGUUGACGUGGCAGGGUCCGGUGAGUCUGAAAGGAAUGCUCCCUGUUAGAAUGGUCAUCUGUAAUGACAGUCUAACAAGGUCCGGUGCACACGCAUAAAGUGCAGUUUUUAGCAUUUAAGUCCAAUGACUAAUUGAGUGGUUGAGGGCUAUAUAUACACCCCAACCAGCUCAUACAAUACACAAGAGCUAAGCAUUCAAGUAUAUUCAUUAUAGCAACACAUCCAUUGUUCCAAAGCGAUCCGAUCCUUAGGGACACCUCAACGGAGAUGUAGGUUUUGUUUGGAAACUGAACUCCGGUAAAUAAAUUGUCAUGUUCAUUUGUGUUGUUUUGCUUGUGAUUCGUUACCCCUUCUCCCUCUCUAAGUUCUCUUGCUUGAUCAUUACUCGAAUCAAUUUGUGUUGCUCCCAAGUUAAUUCUGCAAUCAUAAGAGCAACACUUACAAGAAGAACUACUCUCCAUUACUUUGAUUGUUUUAUCUCUCAUUCUAAUGCCUAAGCGUGAAUCACAAUGUGUGUGUUAAGUGACAUUUCAAGUUUUGCCUAUUCACCCCUAGGUGACUUUAACUCGUACAUCUACAAAAUCACUCCACUCGGUCCUUUGGAGCCAAACACCUAAGUGAAGUGUACAUUAAACCAACAAAAGCUAUACCCUAUAAACAUGGAUGCCGAAGCCAACAUUUGUGAAACCCAUUUGACAUCCUUCCUAACAUCCUCGAGGAAACCCCUUCCAAAGCUCAACAACCACCAACAAGAGUGAACCAUGACCACAAGAAAACAAAAAAACAAAUGAGAGACAGAGAGAGGUGAAAUUCCACUAUGAGCAUUGCAUAGGGAUGUUCUCCUUGUGGAGUUUUGCUUUUGUAGGAAGAGGGAUGAAAGGUGUGGGUUUGAUAAGAAUAAAUGGGACACGUACCAUUCCUAUGGUGUACAUGCCCCAUCUAUUUAGAGGUGUGCAACUAGGCCGAGAGGUACAUGGUUGCCAUCCCAAGCAAUAUCCAAGUCAUAGUCAAUAUGGACCUCAUGAUGAUGGCUUUGCGUCUCAGACUCCUAGUGAAUCAUGUUUCCCUGUUGUGGUGAUAUUUUUACCCAAUGUGACAUGGGAUGUUUGGCUUGUUUCAAACCCCUCCUUUAAACAAUUGGAUGAACACUAGUACUCUUCAUAGCAUAGUGUUGUACCAUUUUCUCAUACUUUGUAUUUCUAUUGAGUAGGUUAGAGGACUAGAGAACAUGUGGUUCAUUGACUCUAGAUGUUUUUCUUGUAUGACUAGUAGUUCCAAAUAUUUCUCUAGCCUUACCCCAUGUAUGGUAAGAAAUAUAUCACUUUCAUGGAUAACAACAAUGAAAAAAUUGUCUUUCAUGCAGCCAUUUAGGUAAAUGAGAGCUUUGUACUCAAGGAAGUUGCUUUGGUUGAUAAUUUGCAUUUCAAACUCUUGUCUGUUUUGCAAGUCCUUGAGGUUGGAUUUGAAGUGCACUUUUAAGAAGGGUGUUUCUUGUGUUCUUGACUCCCAUAAGGAUAUCUUAUUGUUGAAUUUCUCCUUUCAGUUGUGCUUUUUGUGUUGACUUGUUGAGGUCAUUUGGCCCUUCUCAUUGCUUGGUGGGUGAAUUUAUUUUUGACCUUGAAAAUGGCAUAUCAGUCAUGGACAUUUGAGUUUUGACUUGCUUGCAUGACUUAGAACACUUACCUUAUCCAAGAAUUGCAAAGUUGAAAUUUGAUAAAUAUAAUGUUUGCUACCCUUAUCGUCGUAAAAAUGGUUACUACUUCCCAUCCACUCAUUAAGAAAGUUUUGACUAAGCAACCUAGUGAGCUCUUACACAGACAAAAUUAUUCCUACUCACUUACACGCAGUUGGUGGGAGUGGCUUGUUCUUGUUGUAGUUGAUGACUAUUCUCUAACCUCUUGGGUAUUUUUCAUGGAGAGUAAGGAUGAGGCUUUUUCACAUGCUCGAGAUUUGGUUCUUAGGAUGCAAAAUGAGUUUCCAAAACAUGACAUGAGAGUGAUUACAUUGACAAUGACAUAGAAUUCAAGAAUACUCAUUUUAAGACAUUUUGUGCUUCUCUUGAAUUCAAGCAUGAGUUUCCUUCUCCCUGUAUGGUUCAAUUGAAUGGUGUUGUCAAACACAAGAAUCAGAUCUUUGUUGAUAAGGUUAGGACAUUGCUCUAUGAUCACAACACUCCUAGAAAGUAUUGGGUUGAUGUGAUCAACACGGCUUGCUAUGUAUCAAAUAGCAUUUUCCUUUGAGUCUUCUUAAACAAGACAUCUUUUGAGUUGCAAUUUGGAUGUGCACCCAAGGUGAGCCAUUUCUAAGUUUUUAGCUGCAAGUGAUUUAUUCUUAUAAAGGUAAUUUAGACAUGUUAGAGUCCUAAUCUUAUAAUUGGAUUCAUCUUGGUUAUGAAUUACACUCUCAAGCUUAUUGUGCACUUAACAUUUAGACUAUCUAUAUUAUGGAGAAUAGUAAUAUGACAAUUGAUGGGACCAUGGCUUAUGCACCUUGUGUUUGAGACUAUAUGUGAAAAGGAGAUGGGCGAGAGCUUACUAUUUGAUGAGGAUAAAAAGGUGGUAAUUAGAGAUAUCAACAACUGACACCACCAGUUUCCCCCUAUGGAACCUACUUCCACCACUUUGGCUAAUCAAGCAUCCACUUAUUCAACCUCAUUCAUCUCAUUUCAACAUCUACUACCCCUAGUGCAAGCAUAAUUUAGAAGCGGAGUUUGUAGCUAUUGAGGAGGAGGAGAUCACUUCGAGAGGAAAGCUCCCAACACAUUUAGAUUGUCAAUACACCUCAAUAGAUCUAGGUCACACCAAAUGUUGGGGAAAUGAUCCCUGGUCCCUAGGACCUGCCAGUCAGUGAGCGCGCUGAAGGAAGAGCCCUUGAUCGCUAGGUCCUGUUACUCAUUCGGAAGAGGCAGGUGUGCCAACCAAGGAAGGACCCACCCUCGGUCGAACCCCGCGGCACAAAGCCCGGGGCCGGGCGUGGCGAAGCAUGACAAGGGAGGACGAGCAUUUCGAAAGGGAACCACUCGAGUGGAUCCUGUCCCCGGCCCUAGACUGACCCACCAUAAAUGAUUGGCCGCAUUAACCACGCCUGGUGCCGAACCACAUCAUGGGUGCCAGUCCACUUCCCACUCAUGACCUAUGGACCCCUCAGGUCGCAUUGUACUCAUGAGCUACGAGCCCCUGGACUACGACACAUUAAUAGCAUGCAGGCCCCUCGGUCUGUGGGUGCACUCGUGGCCUAUCGGGCUAGGCCUGAGUGCACAGACCUCCCGCAGGGCACUACACGACGGGUUGCAUUAAGCCCCAGGCUACGGAAGCCAGGGGUCAGCGUAGCCGGAAUGAUGGCAUCUAGGACCAUCGUCGUCCCCGCGUCAUCCACUAAAAUAAAUACACGACAGCUAGGCACCCCUGGGCCCCACAAAUACGCAUGGCCUCACCUGGGGUAAAACGUUGGUUUUACCCUUCCUUGCGGCUCCUUCCUAGAAAAGCCACCGCUGGCCGACCCCUCUCUCGGCCUAUAAAAGGGAGAGGGCCGCCUCAGGACAGGGUGAUGGACCGAUCGAGGAACAAAAGGACAGACUGAGGGAUGACCGGAUGCCUUUAGACGGAGACGAGCCCACAAGGAUGAACAGGAGGAGGAGCGUUGAUGAGGAACACGAGGCCAGAGCCCCGCCAUGCCAAGACUUGCUAGGACUCCACCUCUCAGCUUCUAAGCUCCACUUCCACCCUGAUAUGAGAUCUAGGAGCCUCUGCUCUCUCUCUCUCUCUCUCUCUCGAUUGCUUGUAACCCCUACUACAAGUUUGAUCAUCAAUGGGGACAUUAGCGCAAGCCACCGAUUACUGUAUGUAGGGACGUUCUGCCCGAACCAAUAUAAAUCUUGUGUCAUUCGUGCACACCCUUCGGAGCUCGGAACACGCACAAUAAAUUUACUUGUUGGAACGAGGUACGAAACAUCGUCACCAAAUCUCUCACUUUGUUCAUUCUAUAUUGUUUCUUCUUGAACCCUAAGAUGUUGGACACACUUUUCAAUACAAAUUGGGACAAUACUAUGCAUGAUGAACUUGAACACUUUGAAAGAAACCAAGUUUGGGUUUUGGUACAACCCUCACAUGAUUGUCACCCCGUUGACUCAAAAUGGUUUCCAAAUACAAAAAAGGGGAAGAUGGGAUGGUAGUUGUCGAGCUAAUGACCCUUGAGCAUCAUAGGGCCCACUAGUCAGUAUAAGGGCAUAAGAAAGGUCCACCCCGGAUGGACCCAUCCCUGGAUAAACCUGAGACAUAAAACCGAGGGUUGGGCGGAUCGAGGGGAAGCCACUCGAGUGAAUUCCAUGCCUGACCAGGACUGACCUGCUAUGCUGUGUUAACUAUGCUUGGCGCCAAGCCACCGAGGGCGAGUCGGUCCAGUUACCACUCAUAACCUACGGGCCCCUAAGACUGUGGACCACUCAUGACCUAUCAAGCCUAGGCCUGAGAACGUUGUCGCCUACAGGCCCCGCAACACGAUGAGCCACGUUGAGACCUAGGCUAUGUUGGCCAGGGGUCGACGUGGCACAAAGAUGACAAUGAUGACACUGGGACUCUUCGCCGCCCAUGUCGCUCGCCAUGAGUGCGACCUGGGAAGCCCAAACGACCAGGGCAUGAAUGGACAAACAUGACUUUACCAAGGUAAGACGCCCCGUUUUACCACGACACAGUAGCUCCUUCCAUGGGAAGCUACCGAUAGCCUACCCCCGCCAUGGCCUAUAAAAAGGUGGGAGGUUGGCCAAAAUAAGAGGGGAUGCAUGGACGCAUUGAAGGAGACACACAUGAGACGAUAGACAUACACUCUCGAUGAGACUAGAAGACCUAGAGGCCGGAGACGAGGCACGAGCCACCAUGAUGUCCAAGGCUUAGCUUAGAACUCCAGUUUCUUAGUCUUUAGGUCCACCCAUGCAUAAGAGAUCUGAGAGCUCCGCCUUCUCUGUCACACCCGGAUUUAAGGGCCAAACCCGGGUGCGAAUCAAAUGUGUGCUAGGAUCAAGUCUCACACAUAUGAUGACUCAUGGUACAGAAACGAAUGUCACAUUUUUAAUAUAUAAUGAAGUUCUGUACAAAAUAGUUAAAUAAUUACAUCAUACGAAGACAACAAUCCCGCAACCAUAGUUGACUGGGAGACAACGGCCUAGACCUCUCACAAACUCAUCGCGACAUCCUCCAUGCUCCUUAUCCAGCAGUACAUGUUCUUGACCUAGGGGGAUGUGAGUACAACAAGAGUGAGCUCACAUAUGUUCAUCGCUCAACAAGUAGUGGGGAAUAAUGUGCAUGAUCUCACUUACAGUGGGGUCUCAUGUGAAGUGUAAGGCUUACCAAAGAAGAUGGUUAAAGCUAAGCAUUGCUUUUAAAGUUGGUCAAAAUUUUAUUAGUUGUUACUAAGUGUAAGUAGAUACCAACCCAAUUAAAUAAGAGAUCACAAUUAAUAAUAACACUCACAAUGCAAUGCAUAUGAUAGAUUAAGUUUAGUUCCAUAAGUUAAUCAUGCGAGAGUCCUGAGUUGCUCUUGACCGCGAGCACGGCUGAUAUACCAGUUUUACACUCUACAGAGGUUGCGCCCUUUACCCACAAGCCGUGUUACCCAUUUACCAAGGGAUCACGACUUCUCAUUCAUCUUUGCCUAGGAGACAAGGCAGGGUAGCACUACGAGGCCUUUACAAAGUUCCAUUAGCUUCAGAAAACCCCUUUGCAAUUUCUGAGAAGGGCAAUACAGGAAUCCCUCGUUCGAAAAGCCAUCGCAGCAUGAUCAACCUGAGAACCUCCCUAUAUCGCAGCUCCUCUACCGCCCUUGCCCCUUUCAGGUAAGGUAGUCGUCCACUAGCUUUCAUAAUUAGUCAGCCAAGAGCAUUCCAUACCACCCUUGUGGUAGCACUGUUAUCUCAAGUUAAGCUCCAUGUUCCAAUUAACAUAAUAAUCUUGUCAUGAACAAUAAUUAAAACAACAACAAAAUGGGAACAUGGUCAUAAUUCAGAUGUAACAUUAAUCCCAAAAUCAGGUAGAGCAAUAGCAUAUACUACCCAAAAGUUCAGUGGUAAACAAGGUGUGGGAUAAACAAUACUAGGUAAAUCUAUUAGGUUCCAUCAAAUUAACCUGAGCAUGUCACAGUGAUUAACAGAGAACAUUAUUAGGUAAAGAAGAGUGAUCAAGGGCACAACUUGCCUUAGACUUGAGAUUCCCAGGUACUUUACCAAAUUGGUCUUCAAGUGACUCGUAACGUCGCUGCUACUCGUAGAAUUACAUACAAAUAGACAAGAAGUACAUAAAAAUAAUAGUAUACCAAACAUGAGAACAAACAACGUAAGAAUAUCCUACGCGCUGCUAUGAGAUCGUAGGUUCGAGAACCACUAGAAUCGGAGUUACGGUUAAAGAGUUAUGAUUUUCUAAAGAUUUAGGCAUAAAACAAUUUAAGUGCAUGAUUUUAACCAAUUGUGUCAUAGCAAAAUAAAGUUACUGCAUGAUAAACAAUAUCAAUACGAAUUUAAUGUCACUGAAAUGGAUUAAUUUGGGUUUAAAACAAAGAAGCCAUGCCUUUAUGAAUGUUUAGGAUUUAAUUUCUAUAUUAAAAAUCCAUUUUCUGGUUCAUUUUAGUAAACAUGAGUUCUAUUUGGACUUCAGGCAUAAAUUCCAGAGAGGACAGGGUCUAAAGCGUAAAACCUACGACUUGGAUGUAAGGAUAUUAUCACAUCAGUGGACGGCGGGUUGUUUUCUAGAAUCCGGAUGGGGCCUUUUGCAAAACGGACAACCGAAGGGGUAUGCAUGCUUUCUAGCCACUCGAUUUCAGUCCGAGGGUUCGGAUUAGAUCCUGGUCCUACGAAUCAGCACAAUGCCAAGGGCCCUCCGAGUUAAAACUAACACCCUAUAUUUAAAGUGCUUAGAGCAACUCCAGCAGUUCUCUAAAAGACUUCCUAAAUCAAUAAUUUAGGUAGCUAAUAUAAAAACUCAUCUCCAACAGUUCUCUAAAUGAACUUUCUAAAUUUAGCAACUCAUCGUCUUACCUCAUUUCAUCUCUACAUUUGACAACCAUUUAGCAACUCCCUAAACAAAAUGUUGACUGCAUUAUAUAGUUAAUGAAGGUAAUUGAUAACAUUUAUGACUUGUUUUUUAUGUGGAUAGAUACAAAACAAAAUUACAACCUAUAUUUAGAGAACUACUAGAUAACUCACAUUUUUUUACUUCCAAAGUUGUUUAACAACUUCUUAAAUAUGUGAUUUAGAGAGCUAAAAUUUACAUAACUAUUGGAGUUGCUCUUAGAGCUUCUCCAAGAGAUCCCAAAAAUAAAUCUUCCAAUACAAGGGAAUUAGGAUCUCCCUAAAUCUCUUAAUUCCACUCCAUGGGUACCAUCCCCAACAGCUCCCAAGAUUUUUAAAAAAUCUAAAUGCAUAGGUCCACCUACGAAUUAAAUGUACAUAUAAACAGCUUCAUCUGGCAGAGUGCUCCACCUACAAAUUUUGUUUCAAGAUUACUGGAGACGCAUGAAGGUCAAACCUUGCUUCCAAUGAUCAAAUCAUCAUGAGUCGUUGGACAUUAACAGAUCAAAGCAUAUCGUGUCUGAAUAAGAACAAGGUGCAUGGGGACGGGUGAAGAUGCGAGAGCCAGGCUUCCGACACAGGAGGACCUUCAUAUUGAAGGCGAUAGAGCAUAGCGCCAUGGGAUGAUCUCUCGACGUGGAUAGAGACGGUGAGCCAGCGAGCAUAUUGAAGGCGAGAGAGAGAGAGAGAGAGAGCGGCACAACAUUCUGUCGCGCGAAUUCAAAUGAACGCUGCAACCGGACUGGCACGAAUCGGUGGAAGUAAGGCGGGACGGUGUACAACCUUGAUUGGGAGCUCCAGAGGCGGCGAAGGUUUGCGCCGUGGAGAGGGAUUUUUUCGCAUGCGGUAUUUUACGGAUACCACAUAGAAAACUGUUGGAGACAAUUUUUUCUUUUUUUUCCUAGAAUAAGGAUUGGACAGAGGGUUUUAAGGAUCUCUUGGAGAUGAUCUUAGAUCGAAUCUCACACGAACUCCUACUUGAACCAGAACGAAGUGCUGACCAUCGGAUCUAAGUUUGAUGGUCGAAUUUUAAUAAACAGAGUUCUAAUGUACCCCAUUUGAUCCGUGAUCAACGGUCCAGGAUCUACUCCGAAGCGGUACGCCUCGGUUCUAAUCUGGACCGUCUGCUUACAUAUCGACGGCCACGACGCGCAGCCUCAUCAUCCUGGCUUGCCCUGGCGGCGCCAUCCCCGGCGACAAGUAAAUCGGCCACCCCGGCAUACAACUUCACUCACACAAUCGCUACUCGAAGAGGAAGGUCGGGCGAACGACAUGGUUGGCUUCUUACCGGCUGUAGAGCAGUAGCAGACCUUGACCACGAAACGAAGCGGCUCCACGGCGAUGAUGUACUCUGGCGACGAAUUCCCAAUCACUCACUGAUCCUCUAUGCUACCGAUCUCCACCAAUGGAUCUGUGAUGGUCCAGCGAUUCCCGAGAGCUACCAAUCGAGGCUCCAGUGAUGCCUUUCCGCGAGGAUGUGGCCGGCGGCGGUCAGGGUCCCUCUUUUGUGCGAGCUCACGAUUCGUGGUGCUCGCCCGACAUGAAGAUGGCUAGGGGUGCGGGGCUCGGUAUUUAUUCGUCGGGCUGAGGGGUUCGCAGAGUCCAGUAGCGGAAACUCCGCUCGAUCUCAACAACCCAGAGCAGUGGUCGCGGUGAUCGGAG
rnacentral:lncRNA from 1 species